ACGGGAGCUUGCUCCUGGUGGCGAGUGGCGAACGGGUGAGUAAUACAUCGGAACGUACCCAGGAGUGGGGGAUAACGUAGCGAAAGUUACGCUAAUACCGCAUAUUCUGUGAGCAGGAAAGCGGGGGAUCGCAAGACCUCGCGCUCUUGGAGCGGCCGAUGUCGGAUUAGCUAGUUGGUGAGGUAAAAGCUCACCAAGGCGACGAUCCGUAGCAGGUCUGAGAGGAUGAUCUGCCACACUGGGACUGAGACACGGCCCAGACUCCUACGGGAGGCAGCAGUGGGGAAUUUUGGACAAUGGGGGCAACCCUGAUCCAGCCAUGCCGCGUGAGUGAAGAAGGCCUUCGGGUUGUAAAGCUCUUUCGGCGGGGAAGAAAUGGCAACGGCUAAUAUCCGUUGUUGAUGACGGUACCCGCAUAAGAAGCACCGGCUAACUACGUGCCAGCAGCCGCGGUAAUACGUAGGGUGCGAGCGUUAAUCGGAAUUACUGGGCGUAAAGCGUGCGCAGGCGGUUUCGUAAGACAGACGUGAAAUCCCCGGGCUCAACCUGGGAACUGCGUUUGUGACUGCGAGGCUAGAGUAC
rnacentral:rRNA from 1 species